AGCGCAGGCGGGAGAACAAGUUGGAAGUGAAAUCCAUGGGCUCAACCCAUGAACUGCUUUCAAAACUGUUUUUCUUGAGUAGUGCAGAGGUAGGCGGAAUUCCCGGUGUAGCGGUGGAAUGCGUAGAUAUCGGGAGGAACACCAGUGGCGAAGGCGGCCUACUGGGCACCAACUGACGCUGAGGCUCGAAAGUGUGGGGAGCGAACA
rnacentral:rRNA from 1 species